GUUGCAACUUUGAAAAGUCACUAAAUGGAUGAUUGCUAUUUUUUUUUAAAAAAGAAAGAAUUACUUGAGAGUAUCCUUGUAAAAUCCCAGUCAUCUGCAGAGAGAGCCGUGUGGAUCAGCUUCCCAAACAUGACUUGUGUUGAUCAUCAUGCGCAUCACAUUCUUUUCAAGAACAUAGGAUGGCAUAAGGUAUGUGAGGAUACUUUUAUAAUUGUUGAUGGAAAUUUUGUCUAUGUGCGGAUUUUAAUAAAUUAUGAACUAUAUUUCUACU